AUUGAACGCUGGCGGCAGGCCUAACACAUGCAAGUCGAGCGGAGCGGCGGACGGGUGAGUAAUGCCUAGGAAUCUGCAUGGUAGUGGGGGAUAACGUCCGGAAACGGGAGCUAAUACCGCAUACUAUCAGAUGAGCCUAGGUCGGAUUAGCGAGGUGGUGGGGUAAAGGCCUACCAAGGCGACGAUCCGUAACUGGUCUGAGAGGAUGAGCAGUCACACCGGAACCGGGAAACGGGCCAGACUCCUACGGGAGGCAGGAGUGGGGAAUAUUGGACAAUGGGGGAAAGCCUGAUCCAGCCAUGGCGCGUGUGUGAAGAAGGUCUUCGGAUUGUAAAGCACUUUAAGUUGGGAGGCGUUACCAACAGAAUAAGCACCGGCUAACUUCGUGCCAGCAGCCGCGGUAAUUC
rnacentral:rRNA from 1 species